rnacentral:sRNA from 1 species
UCCUCAGUCAGGUUUUCAAGGGGGAGGGAAUGCGGAGACAGGAGAAAAAAAGUGCUGAGGGCCGAAGCUGGUGCAGGGUGACGGUGCGUCUGGGUAAGGCAAAUGAGAGGCAGUGAGGUGAUCUCAGAAUGGCGUUGAGGCGGUCAGAUUAGGCCGGGCUGGCUCACACGAGGGUCCCGGGCUUGGCUUUUCCCUGCCCGUACCACUGGACAUCAGCUAGUUCUGGAUAGAGGGAGGAAUCCAGGAAACAGCUAUCAUUGUAGCUCCUGUGGGAGGCCCAAGAAAGAUGAGAGAGUUAGUGGAGGAGGAUGGGCUCAGCCAGGCCUGCACUGAGAAGGAUGUGUUCACCUUGACAGGGCCCUGUGCUAAUCACGAGUCUUUCCUGUUCAGAGCAGUGAGGCCUGAGACCCUCAACGGUGCUGUGUGUACAGAAGGCCCCCAGAAUCCACAGAAAGGGCCCGCCUGAAACCUAGAGCAUUUGUGAAGGAGGAGAAUGGAAGGAACAACUGGAUGUUGUAAAUGUUUCUCAUCUGGCCUUAAAAUCCAUGAAAGCUGGAAAAUGCCAAGGCAUCUGUGCACAUACUGGUGGAUUUUAAUGAGAGUCCUGUGUUUGGAGCACCAGAAAUAAACCAGCUUCAGAAGCAAAAACGACGUUAACAGGAGGAGGAAGCAGAGCUAGAGCUGGAAGGAGACCCAGCCAGCCCGGGCUCCAGUGACAUCAGCCGGUACACGCUCUUGUUUGCUUACGCUUGUUGAACUGAGUUUUUCAUAUGUAACUAACCAAUACUGGCACAUGUGAGACUGGGCAUGAUUCAGAAAAGCUGGAAGAUCUAGAGAGGGAUCUUGCAAUCUGAAGUUUGUUUAGUCACUGGAGGUGAGCCCGAGAAUUUGCAUUUCUGACAAGAUCCCAGGACCACCGCCUACUUUAAGAGAGAACACAGACAAUUCACCUCCAUAAAGGCACAGCCAGGGAGAGGAGUAGGCAGAGGUGACAGCAGAUCAUGGGGCUUCUCUUGAAAGGAAGACACCUCCCAGUAACGAACCCUCAUCGUCCAUUUACUGACUUAUCCUUAUGUCACUAGGAUUUGAACGUCUAUGACACUCUUCCGAGCUGACACAGUGAAGAACAUGGAAGGAGAACUCACCCAGUCUGCCAGGGUCACAGAUGAUCAUACUCAAGAUCUUCCUGGGGAGUCAACGGCAAAUUUCACUGGGCUACUUUACAGAUGAAGAAGGAAUAUAAAGAAGGUUCUGGGACCCU